UACAGAGGUCUCAAGCGUUGUUCGGAUUCAUUGGGCGUAAAGGGUGUGUAGGUGGCGCCGUAAGUCGGGUGUGAAAUUUCGGGGCUUAACUCCGAAACUGCAUUCGAUACUGCGGUGCUUGAGGACUGGAGAGGAGACUGGAAUUCAUGGUGUAGCAGUGAAAUGCGUAGAGAUCAUGAGGAAGACCAGUGGCGAAGGCGGGUCUCUGGACAGUUCCUGACACUGAGACACGAAGGCCAGGGGAGCAAACGGG
rnacentral:rRNA from 1 species